GGCUCAGAACGAACGUUAGCGGUUCGCCUAACACAUGCAAGUCGCACGAGAAAGGGCUUCGGCCCCGGUAAGGUGGCGCACGGGUGAGUAACACGUAGGUAAUCUCCCCUCGAGUGGUGGAUAACCCUCCGAAAGGAGAGCUAAUACAGCAUGAGACCACGAGCUCUUCGGAGCUUGCGGCCAAAGCAGGCCUCUACAUGUAAGCUUGCGCUGGAGGAUGAGCCUGCGGCCCAUCAGGUAGUUGGCAGGGUAACGGCCUACCAAGCCUAAGACGGGUAGCUGGUCUGAGAGGAUGAACAGCCACACUGGAACUGACACACGGUCCAGACUCCUACGGGAGGCAGCAGUGGGGAAUCUUGCGCAAUGGGCGAAAGCCUGACGCAGCGACGCCGCGUGAGCGAUGAAGGCCUUCGGGUUGUAAAGCUCUGUGGGGAGGGAAGAAUAAGGGCUGGCUAAUAUCCAGUCUGAUGACGGUACCUCCUUAGCAAGCACCGGCUAACUCUGUGCCAGCAGCCGCGGUAAUACAGAGGGUGCAAACGUUGUUCGGAAUUACUGGGCGUAAAGCGCGUGCAGGCGGCCUUGCAAGUCGGACGUGAAAUCCCACGGCUCAACCGUGGAAGGGCAUUCGAAACUGCGAGGCUGGAGUCCUGGAGAGGAAAGUGGAAUACUCGGUGUAGAGGUGAAAUUCGUAGAUAUCGAGUGGAACACCGGUGGCGAAGGCGGCUUUCUGGACAGGUACUGACGCUGAGACGCGAAAGCGUGGGGAGCAAACAGGAUUAGAUACCCUGGUAGUCCACGCCGUAAACGAUGAGUGCUAGGUGUCACGGGCUUUGACCCUCGU
rnacentral:rRNA from 1 species